AGUCGACGGUAACAGGAGGAAGCUUGCUUUCUUGCUGACGAGUGGCGGACGGGUGAGUAAUGCUUGGGAAUCUGGCUUAUGGAGGGGGAUAACUACGGGAAACUGUAGCUAAUACCGCGUAAUAUCUUCGGAUUAAAGGGUGGGACUUUCGGGCCACCUGCCAUAAGAUGAGCCCAAGUGGGAUUAGGUAGUUGGUGGGGUAAAGGCCCACCAAGCCGACGAUCUCUAGCUGGUCUGAGAGGAUGACCAGCCACACUGGAACUGAGACACGGUCCAGACUCCUACGGGAGGCAGCAGUGGGGAAUAUUGCACAAUGGGGGGAACCCUGAUGCAGCCAUGCCGCGUGAAUGAAGAAGGCCUUCGGGUUGUAAAGUUCUUUCGGUGAUGAGGAAGGUGUUUGUUUUAAUAGAACAAGCAAUUGACGUUAGUCACAGAAGAAGCACCGGCUAACUCCGUGCCAGCAGCCGCGGUAAUACGGAGGGUGCGAGCGUUAAUCGGAAUGACUGGGCGUAAAGGGCACGCAGGCGGUGACUUAAGUGAGAUGUGAAAGCCCCGAGCUUAACUUGGGAUUGCAUUUCAUACUGGGUCGCUAGAGUAUUUUAGGGAGGGGU
rnacentral:rRNA from 1 species